GGGUUGUGAGGUUAAGCGACUAAGCGUACACGGUGGAUGCCCUGGCAGUCAGAGGCGAUGAAGGACGUGCUAAUCUGCGAUAAGCGUCGGUAAGGUGAUAUGAACCGUUAUAACCGGCGAUUUCCGAAUGGGGAAACCCAGUGUGUUUCGACACACUAUCAUUAACUGAAUCCAUAGGUUAAUGAGGCGAACCGGGGGAACUGAAACAUCUAAGUACCCCGAGGAAAAGAAAUCAACCGAGAUUCCCCCAGUAGCGGCGAGCGAACGGGGAGCAGCCCAGAGCCUGAAUCAGUGUGUGUGUUAGUGGAAGCGUCUGGAAAGGCGCGCGAUACAGGGUGACAGCCCCGUACACAAAAAUGCACAUGCUGUGAGCUCGAUGAGUAGGGCGGGACACGUGGUAUCCUGUCUGAAUAUGGGGGGACCAUCCUCCAAGGCUAAAUACUCCUGACUGACCGAUAGUGAACCAGUACCGUGAGGGAAAGGCGAAAAGAACCCCGGCGAGGGGAGUGAAAAAGAACCUGAAACCGUGUACGUACAAGCAGUGGGAGCACGCUUAGGCGUGUGACUGCGUACCUUUUGUAUAAUGGGUCAGCGACUUAUAUUCUGUAGCAAGGUUAACCGAAUAGGGGAGCCGAAGGGAAACCGAGUCUUAACUGGGCGUUAAGUUGCAGGGUAUAGACCCGAAACCCGGUGAUCUAGCCAUGGGCAGGUUGAAGGUUGGGUAACACUAACUGGAGGACCGAACCGACUAAUGUUGAAAAAUUAGCGGAUGACUUGUGGCUGGGGGUGAAAGGCCAAUCAAACCGGGAGAUAGCUGGUUCUCCCCGAAAGCUAUUUAGGUAGCGCCUCGUGAAUUCAUCUCCGGGGGUAGAGCACUGUUUCGGCAAGGGGGUCAUCCCGACUUACCAACCCGAUGCAAACUGCGAAUACCGGAGAAUGUUAUCACGGGAGACACACGGCGGGUGCUAACGUCCGUCGUGAAGAGGGAAACAACCCAGACCGCCAGCUAAGGUCCCAAAGUCAUGGUUAAGUGGGAAACGAUGUGGGAAGGCCCAGACAGCCAGGAUGUUGGCUUAGAAGCAGCCAUCAUUUAAAGAAAGCGUAAUAGCUCACUGGUCGAGUCGGCCUGCGCGGAAGAUGUAACGGGGCUAAACCAUGCACCGAAGCUGCGGCAGCGACACUAUGUGUUGUUGGGUAGGGGAGCGUUCUGUAAGCCUGCGAAGGUGUGCUGUGAGGCAUGCUGGAGGUAUCAGAAGUGCGAAUGCUGACAUAAGUAACGAUAAAGCGGGUGAAAAGCCCGCUCGCCGGAAGACCAAGGGUUCCUGUCCAACGUUAAUCGGGGCAGGGUGAGUCGACCCCUAAGGCGAGGCCGAAAGGCGUAGUCGAUGGGAAACAGGUUAAUAUUCCUGUACUUGGUGUUACUGCGAAGGGGGGACGGAGAAGGCUAUGUUGGCCGGGCGACGGUUGUCCCGGUUUAAGCGUGUAGGCUGGUUUUCCAGGCAAAUCCGGAAAAUCAAGGCUGAGGCGUGAUGACGAGGCACUACGGUGCUGAAGCAACAAAUGCCCUGCUUCCAGGAAAAGCCUCUAAGCAUCAGGUAACAUCAAAUCGUACCCCAAACCGACACAGGUGGUCAGGUAGAGAAUACCAAGGCGCUUGAGAGAACUCGGGUGAAGGAACUAGGCAAAAUGGUGCCGUAACUUCGGGAGAAGGCACGCUGAUAUGUAGGUGAAGCGACUUGCUCGUGGAGCUGAAAUCAGUCGAAGAUACCAGCUGGCUGCAACUGUUUAUUAAAAACACAGCACUGUGCAAACACGAAAGUGGACGUAUACGGUGUGACGCCUGCCCGGUGCCGGAAGGUUAAUUGAUGGGGUCAGCGCAAGCGAAGCUCUUGAUCGAAGCCCCGGUAAACGGCGGCCGUAACUAUAACGGUCCUAAGGUAGCGAAAUUCCUUGUCGGGUAAGUUCCGACCUGCACGAAUGGCGUAAUGAUGGCCAGGCUGUCUCCACCCGAGACUCAGUGAAAUUGAACUCGCUGUGAAGAUGCAGUGUACCCGCGGCAAGACGGAAAGACCCCGUGAACCUUUACUAUAGCUUGACACUGAACAUUGAGCCUUGAUGUGUAGGAUAGGUGGGAGGCUUUGAAGUGUGGACGCCAGUCUGCAUGGAGCCGACCUUGAAAUACCACCCUUUAAUGUUUGAUGUUCUAACGUGGACCCGUAAUCCGGGUUGCGGACAGUGUCUGGUGGGUAGUUUGACUGGGGCGGUCUCCUCCUAAAGAGUAACGGAGGAGCACGAAGGUUGGCUAAUCCUGGUCGGACAUCAGGAGGUUAGUGCAAUGGCAUAAGCCAGCUUGACUGCGAGCGUGACGGCGCGAGCAGGUGCGAAAGCAGGUCAUAGUGAUCCGGUGGUUCUGAAUGGAAGGGCCAUCGCUCAACGGAUAAAAGGUACUCCGGGGAUAACAGGCUGAUACCGCCCAAGAGUUCAUAUCGACGGCGGUGUUUGGCACCUCGAUGUCGGCUCAUCACAUCCUGGGGCUGAAGUAGGUCCCAAGGGUAUGGCUGUUCGCCAUUUAAAGUGGUACGCGAGCUGGGUUUAGAACGUCGUGAGACAGUUCGGUCCCUAUCUGCCGUGGGCGCUGGAGAACUGAGGGGGGCUGCUCCUAGUACGAGAGGACCGGAGUGGACGCAUCACUGGUGUUCGGGUUGUCAUGCCAAUGGCACUGCCCGGUAGCUAAAUGCGGAAGAGAUAAGUGCUGAAAGCAUCUAAGCACGAAACUUGCCCCGAGAUGAGUUCUCCCUGACUCCUUGAGAGUCCUGAAGGAACGUUGAAGACGACGACGUUGAUAGGCCGGGUGUGUAAGCGCAGCGAUGCGUUGAGCUAACCGGUACUAAUGAACCGUGAGGCUUAACCUUACAACGCCGAAGCUGUU
rnacentral:rRNA from 1 species